rfam:Brassica napus, WGS project CCCW01000000 data, contig: 10898
GGAAUAUAAGAAACAGUCUUUUAACUUUUAACUAAAAAAACUAAGAACCGGUUCUUAAAUAUUCCGCUAAGAGCAUGAUUAAUGGAGGUUCUUAGGAGCCGGUUCUUAGUUUUUUUAGUUAAAAGUUAAGAGAUGGUUUCUUAUAUUCC